UACGUAGGCAGCAAGCGUUGUUCGGAGUUACUGGGCGUAAAGGGUGUGUAGGCGGUUGUUUAAGUUUGGUGUGAAAUCUCCCGGCUCAACUGGGAGGGUGCGCCGAAUACUGAAUGACUAGAGUGCGGGAGAGGAAAGUGGAAUUCCUGGUGUAGCGGUGAAAUGCGUAGAUAUCAGGAGGAACACCGGUGGUGUAGACGGCUUUCUGGACCGUAACUGACGCUGAGGUGCGAAAGCGUGGGGAGCAAACAGG
rnacentral:rRNA from 1 species